UGAACGCUGGCGGUAUGCUUAAUACAUGCAAGUCGUACGAGGGCUUUUAGCCUUAGUGGCGGACGGGUGAGUAACACGUGAGAAUCUGCCCUUAGGAGGAGGAUAACAGCUGGAAACGGUUGCUAAUACUCCAUAUGCCGAGAGGUGAAAGGAUUUAUCCACCUAAGGAGGAGCUCGCGUCUGAUUAGCUAGUUGGUAGGGUAAUGGCCUACCGAGGCGACGAUCAGUAGCUGGUUUGAGAGGAUGAUCAGCCACACUGGGACUGAGACACGGCCCAGACUCCUACGGGAGGCAGCAGUAGGGAAUUUUCCGCAAUGGGCGAAAGCCUGACGGAGCAAUACCGCGUGAGGGAUGACGGCCUGUGGGUUGUAAACCUCUUUUCUCAAGGAAGAAGUUCUGACGGUACUUGAGGAAUAAGCAUCGGCUAACUCUGUGCCAGCAGCCGCGGUAAUCUGAUGGCGCGAGG
rnacentral:rRNA from 1 species